UACAGAGGCCUCGAGCGUUAGGCGGAAUCACUGGGCUUAAAGCGCGUGUAGGCGGUUCGUUAAGUGUCUUGUGAAAUCCCACGGCUCAACCGUGGAACUGCUGGGCAUACUGGCGAUCUUGGGCCACUCAGGGGCGACCGGAACAAGCGGUGGAGCGGUGAAAUGCGUAGAUAUCGCUUGGAACGCCAAAGGUGAAGACAGGUCGCUGGGGGUGUGCCGACGCUGAGACGCGAAAGCCAGGGGAGCAAACGGG
rnacentral:rRNA from 1 species